rnacentral:misc_RNA from 1 species
AUUAUUGUUAUUAUUAUUAUUAUGUGGACAUUUAAGUAGCUUGUACUUGCGCAUUUUCAAAACACUCUUGAAAUAAGAAGGGCAACAAUAACAAAGGGCAAUAAAUCCAUUAAAUAUCUGGAUUAACAGAAGGAUGCAAUAUCAAAAAGUAGGGCUAAUGAAAAAAAAAAGAAGAAGCUUGGUCCAAGUAUCUGUUGUGGGAGUGUGGAAGUAAGUUUUUAUUCUUUUUGAACAUUCUGUUUUUCAAAUCUUGCUGUUAUUUUAUGAAAUUUAAUGGUUGUUAAAUAUUAUAAUAAUUCAAAAUACUAGCCAGUUAGUCUUUUUCCUGUCCUAUGAAUAAAAAGAUUGUUUACAUCAACACUUGUGGUGCUUUGCCUUGUACAGUUGUAUGUACUAUGUAAUAGACAUGGAGAAAAGAAUAGACUAUGAUUGAUAUUUUGGCCAAAGCUUGCAUUUUAUGGUUUAUUAACCCUUUGUACGAUCCUCCCAUCUACUUCACCAGGCUGAUUAGCUCCCAGUUCUUUCUAAACUAGCUUCUUUAUUGUUUCUUUUAAUUUUUUUUUAAUCUGUUUUGGAAAUUUGAUUUAUUUGAUGUUACACAUUAAUUUCUAUUUGUCUGUAGAGCCGGAGAUUCUUUUGGUUGCUUGAUGUAUGGUUGGUUAUUCUCCCCUUGUAAUUUUUUUUCUUUUUUUUAAAUAGAUUUUUCUUUUGGUGGGGAGGGGUUUGAUAGGUGGGUGGAACUUUUCUGCUUUGUAUUACUGGUUGACUUAUUCCUUUUCUUUCAUUUAUUAUAAUAGAUUCAAUGUCUCAACCUUAAUAUCUUCGAUAACUGGUCAUUUAAUUGUUACAGGGUGAAGUGGAUUGUCCAUUCUACUUGAAAACCGG